rnacentral:lncRNA from 1 species
GUGGUAGGUCGCAGCCUCUGGGCAGGUCUCAGUGUCCAACACUGUAGCUGGUGCCUGCCAGGUUCCCAGUCGCUGGGGUCACCAGGUCUGAAGAGAGAUGUGCUGGCUGCGGGCGUGGGGCCAGAUUCUCCUGCCAGUUUUCCUCUCCCUCUUUCUCAUCCAAUUGCUUAUCAGCUUCUCAGAGAAUGGUUUUAUCCACAGCCCCAGGAACAAUCAGAAACCAAGAGAUGGGAAUGAAGAGGGUGAGUGAUCUGGAGUCCUGAGAAUGUUCUGUAAAGAAGAGUUGUCAAUUGUGCACAGAAGAUAAGAAAUGUGUUUGGUGUAGUGAAGAAAAAGCAUGCAAAAAAUACUGUUUUCCCUAUUUCGGUUGUCGAUUCAGUUCUAUAUAUUGGUUAAACUGUAAAGUAUAUGAUGAAUAGAUAAUUGAAAAGAGAUCUUCC